rnacentral:rRNA from 1 species
AUGAGUAAACCACUGGGUCCCAAGCACCGUGGCCUGUCCACCUACAAAAAAGAAUGCCUCGCUAUCCUGAUGGCCGUUGAACAGUGGCGCCCAUAUUUGCACUCUGACGAGUUCCUUAUCAGAACUGACCAAUGCAGUCUAGUUCACCUUGAUGAUCAACGGUUAUCGACUGUUUGGCAACAGAAGGCCUUUACCAAGCUAUUAGGGCUGCGUUACAAGAUUUGCUACAGAAGAUAA